AGGCCCAGGGCGGCGCGGUCUUUUCCCCGAAGCUGCGUCCGCUGCAGCGCAAUCCGGACCUAAACCGGUUAACGCAUCCACUGAAUACCCCCGAGUUCAGUGGAAGAUGCUUAGAGACAAAGACAAGCAGUUAGAUACCCUGGGAGAAGCAGAACUGCUCUCAGUAGACGCAAGCAUCUCAUUUGAAACAGCGUAGGGGAAGCAGAAGAAGAAGAAGAAUCAGAAGAAGAAGACACUAUGGCCUCGAUUUUGUGCAUGCUUUUGUGGAAAACGCUGCCUAGCAAGGCACGGAAUGGCUGCCAGAUCCUGGCUGUGAGCUGGAGAACGUGUCAGUCACCGGGCAAGACCAGCUUUCAGCCCCCAUGCCCUGGAGAUGUGCCAAGAUCCUAAGACAACAGGGCCUUCCCGGAGCUCCUGAAUGAAUCUCCUUAACACACCCUAUCAAUCUUCCCUUAUCCACUCAUUCCAGGCUGUUCAGGGCUCUGAUAGCCUCAGCUAUCCAAGCCAUCGUGGGUCGUCAGUCAUCACUGAUAACUUUAGUAUCACGCAGGAAAGCUUAAUCAAACUUUCCUGGUUCAAUGUCUCACCCCAGAGAUGACUAUUAAGUUAUUGUUUUGGGGCAGCAGACGUAAUCCUGCUCCAGGGUAUGUUCUACAGUAUACUCGGAUUACCCCUCUGCCAUAGUUGUGUGCAGUGCCCUCGGAUCUAGCAUCCACCCUCAGACUUUGGUCUGAGCUCAUCUUGCACUGAAGCGCUGGUCACUCGACUCUCUCUCUCUCAGGGACUGGUAACCACCCCCCAAAACUGCAACUCUUUCCAAUUUUCCUCCCUGCUUUUCUAGUCACCUCUGUACAUGUGCUGUCUAUCUUGU